AUCAUAUCUAUCAAAAUGUUAAAACAUCAUCCUCCAGAGGAGGGCAGCAACAGUCUCGCAACACAAUAUCAUGGCCUAAAAUCAACAGCAAAAGUUGUGCCAAACAAAGGAGGACGACCCCUGCUGCGUCUGCUUUCACCAGUGGUCUAUUUGCACCUUCUAUUUAUAGAUGAGCUAGUAUGAGGAAUACACUAUCUUCAUAUAUCACUUUAAUGCACUCGCAGAUUCAUAAGCAGCACCUCUAAUAAAGAGAUGGAGGGAGAAAAAAAGAAAGAGAUAGUUAUUGAGCGGCUGAGAGGAAGAGGGGAAAAAUGAUCUAAUGCAGCUAAUGCAGCUCCAGUUUAGCACAUUAAGAAAGACAGACGCGCACACACAUAGAAAAAAAGGAGUGAAUCAAGGAGUGAAAGAAAAUAUUCAGAGAGAAAGAGAGAGGGAGCAAAAGGAAGAGAUUGAGAGAUGGAAACAAACCAAUAGAGAGGAAGAGGGAGAGACAGAAGAGUGAGAGAUGAGAUACUGAGGCAGCCGUUCAUCCACCAUCCUCCCCACCACCAUCACAAGGUUGGCCCAGUCCAUUGGGGUAGGCUACAAGCUACCAUAGGAUCUACAAGCUUUCAUUUAAAGCUACAGACGGGGCAUCCACUAAAGAAAUGCUUUGUUUUGUUAAAUUAUACUAUGCUAAAUAAUACUUUUGUCAAAUAAAUGCAAUUCAAUAUCA